GACGAACGCUGGCGGCGUGCCUAAUACAUGCAAGUAGAACGCACAGUUUAUACCGUAGCUUGCUACACCAUAAACUGUGAGUUGCGAACGGGUGAGUAACGCGUAGGUAACCUGCCUGGUAGCGGGGGAUAACUAUUGGAAACGAUAGCUAAUACCGCAUAAUAUUGAUUAUUGCAUGAUAAUUGAUUGAAAGAUGCUAUUGCAUCACUACCAGAUGGACCUGCGUUGUAUUAGCUAGUAGGUGAGGUAACGGCUCACCUAGGCGACGAUACAUAGCCGACCUGAGAGGGUGAUCGGCCACACUGGGACUGAGACACGGCCCGGACUCCUACGGGAGGCAGCAGUAGGGAAUCUUCGGCAAUGGACGAAAGUCUGACCGAGCAACGCCGCGUGAGUGAAGAAGGUUUUCGGAUCGUAAAGCUCUGUUGUAAGAGAAGAACGGGUGUGAGAGUGGAAAGUUCACACUGUGACGGUAUCUUACCAGAAAGGGACGGCUAACUACGUG
rnacentral:rRNA from 1 species